rnacentral:rRNA from 1 species
GACAGAGGUGCCAAGCGUUAGGCGGAAUCACUGGGCUUAAAGCGUGUGUAGGCGGAUCGUUAAGUGUCUUGUGAAAUCCCACGGCUUAACCGUGGAACUGCUUGGCAUACUGGCGGUCUUGAGCCACUUAGGGGCAACCGGAACAAAUGGUGGAGCGGUGAAAUGCGUAGAUAUCGAGAGGAACACCUGCGGCGAAGGCGGGUAGCUGGGCCGACACUGACGCUGAGGCGCGAAAGCCAGGGGAGCGAACGGG